rnacentral:rRNA from 1 species
CACGUAGGGCGCAAGCGUUGUCCGGAAUUAUUGGGCGUAAAGAGCUCGUAGGCGGUCUGUUGCGUCCGCUGUGAAAACCCGGGGCUUAACCCCUGGCUUGCAGUGGAUACGGACAGACUAGAGGUAGGUAGGGGAGAAUGGAAUUCCCGGUGUAGCGGUGAAAUGCGCAGAUAUCGGGAGGAACACCGGUGGCGAAGGCGGUUCUCUGGGCCUUACCUGACUCUGAGGAGCGAAAGCGUGGGGAGCGAACAGG